rnacentral:rRNA from 1 species
GAUGAACGCUGGCGGCGUGCCUAAUACAUGCAAGUCGAGCGAACAGACGAGGAGCUUGCUCCAUUGACGUUAGCGGCGGACGGGUGAGUAACACGUAGGUAACCUACCUAUAAGACUGGGAUAACUUCGGGAAACCGGAGCUAAUACCGGAUAAUAUUUCGAACCGCAUGGUUCGAUAGUGAAAGAUGGCUUUGCUAUCACUUAUAGAUGGACCUGCGCCGUAUUAGCUAGUUGGUAAGGUAACGGCUUACCAAGGCAACGAUACGUAGCCGACCUGAGAGGGUGAUCGGCCACACUGGAACUGAGACACGGUCCAGACUCCUACGGGAGGCAGCAGUAGGGAAUCUUCCGCAAUGGGCGAAAGCCUGACGGAGCAACGCCGCGUGAGUGAUGAAGGUCUUCGGAUCGUAAAACUCUGUUAUUAGGGAAGAACAAACGUGUAAGUAACUGUGCACGUCUUGACGGUACCUAAUCAGAAAGCCACGGCUAACUACGUG